UACGGAAUGUGCAAACGUUAUUCGGAAUCACUGGGCUUAAAGAGUCCGUAGGCGGCAUGUUAGGUGAGGUGUGAAAUCCCCCGGCUCAACCGAGGAAUUGCGCUUCAAACCGGCGUGCUUGAGGAAGAUAGAGGUGGGCGGAACUGAUGGUGGAGCGGUGAAAUGCGUUGAUAUCAUCAGGAACACCGGAGGCGAAGGCGGCCCACUGGGUCUUUUCUGACGCUGAGGGACGAAAGUGUGGGGAGCGAACAGG
rnacentral:rRNA from 1 species